rnacentral:rRNA from 1 species
AGCCUGACGCAGCCAUGCCGCGUGGAUGAUGAAGGUCUUAGGAUUGUAAAAUCCUUUCACCGGGGACGAUAAUGACGGUACCCGGAGAAGAAGCCCCGGCUAACUUCGUGCCAGCAGCCGCGGUAAUACGAAGGGGGCUAGCGUUGCUUGGAAUUACUGGGCGUAAAGGGCGCGUAGGCGGACAGUUAAGUUGGGGGUGAAAGCCCGGGGCUCAACCUCGGAAAUGCCUUCAAUACUGGCUGCCUUGAGUACGGGAGAGGUGAGUGGAACUCCGAGUGUAGAGGUGAAAUUCGUAGAUAUUCGGAAGAACACCAGUGGCGAAGGCGACUCACUGGCCUGUUACUGACGCUGAGGCGCGAAAGCGUGGGGAGCAAACAGGAUUAGAUACCCUGGUAGUCCACGCCGUAAACGAUGAGUGCUAGUUGUCGGCAUGCAUGCAUGUCGGUGACGCAG